GAUCUGCGUCCUCAUCUGGACUCUCCUCUGCUGCUGCUUCACAGAGUCCAGAGGACAGAUCACAGUGACUCAGACUGGAGCAGUGAGCUCUGCUGUGGGAGGAUCUGUGAGCAUCAAGUGUAGGACCAGUCAGGAUGUUAAUGCUUUUUUCGGAACCCACUAUUUAGCCUGGUACCAACAGAAAGAUGGAGGAGUUCCUAAACUGCUCAUUUAUGCUGCUAGCAGUCGAGCAUCAGCGAUUCCAGCUCGUUUUACAGGCAGUGGAUCAAACUCUGACUUCACUCUGACCAUCAGUGGAGUCCAGGCUGAAGAUGCAGCAGUUUAUUACUGUCAGAGUUUUCACUGGCCUGGCAGUCAGCGUGUGUUCACACAGUGAAAAACAGUCGUACAAAAACCUCCCUCAGUCACACUGAACAGAAACUGAAGUGAAUGCUGCAGCUGGAAGAUACUGCAGAGACUGAUACAGUUCACUGAGGACACACACACACACACACACACACACACUUUAUUCUUAAACGACCUUUAAACUCAGACUUUUCACACUAAAACUUAAUAAUUUAGCUUCAUCUGAUUUAGCAGCAAAAGUUGAAAAAUACAAUAAAAUAUGCACCUUUGAUUCAUCACACAUCAGACAUUUGGAAGACGACCAUCAUAGAUUAUACAAAGUAAGUAAUACACAGAUAAAUACACAGAUCAACACAAUGAAUGUUCACAUUUAACAAUGACACAAAAAAAAUGAUCCAUUCUUCAAAUAUUUGAAAAUCUCAUCUUUAAUUUAUUUUGAAUGUUUUAUAUCAUAGACUUAAUAAUACCUUACUAAUGUUUAACAGUGUGACAUCAUCAUAAAAUACUACCAAGAUCUGUAACCACUGAAAAUAAGAUGUGAUCAUCCUCCUGACAGACUGUGGACUUUCUCUUGUUUUAAGAAGUUUAGUGAAGUGAGUUUCUCUCAUUUUGCUGUAAAAACUAGAAGAGAUUAACUUAUAUGUAAGUUGAUUAAAGCAGACCUGUAGUCUCUCACCUGCCUGCAUUCCUGUGUGUUUGUUCUGUUAGUCUCUUCUUAACAUCAUGUCCACUGUUGAGCUCAAUUCCGUCGUCAUUAUUUGAGUCCAGUUAUUGUCUCACUGCCUUCUGUGAGUUACUCAGCCUCUGUUUUGUGUGCUUUAAAUCUCAGACUCCUUAUCUCCACCUCAUCCUGCACAAUUAGAGAUCCUCAACUAAGUCUCCACCUGCUUCAUCUCUGCCACCACCAGCUUCUAGACUCUUCUCUGCUUUGUUGCUUCAUCAGAGUUUCACUGUCAAAUAGUUCAUUAAUCAAACGUCAAUAAAUCUUCAUUUAAACUUCAUUUAAAUAAACUCUGUUUAAACAUA